rnacentral:rRNA from 1 species
UACGUAGGGUGCAAGCGUUAAUCGGAAUUACUGGGCGUAAAGCGUGCGCAGGCGGUUUUGUAAGUCUGUCGUGAAAUCCCCGGGCUCAACCUGGGAAUGGCGAUGGAGACUGCAAGGCUAGAGUUUGGCAGAGGGGGGUAGAAUUCCACGUGUAGCAGUGAAAUGCGUAGAGAUGUGGAGGAACACCGAUGGAGCGGAACGGCAGCCCCCUGGGUUAGCACUGACGCUCG